rnacentral:lncRNA from 1 species
GUCAUCGCUUGUAGUUCCAGUUAUUUGGGAGGCUGAGGUGGGAGGAUCACUUGAGCAGGGAAGUGGAGGUCGCAGGGAGAAGAGAUUGUGCCACUGCACUCCAACCUCUAGGGUGACAGAGUGAGACCUUGUCUCAAAAACAAACAAACAGAGCAAAAAUUGGCUUGCAAGAGUGGAUUCAUUGAUCUUUCACUUCUUCCAUGUGAGGAACAGUAUUCCUGUAUCCUGGAGAAGGCAGCACUCGAGCCACCAUCUUGGAAGUGAAGAUCAGGCCCUCAGCAGACACAAAACCUGCCAGUGCCAUGAUCUUGGAUUUUUCAACCUGCAGGACUAUUCAAUGAAAUUCCAAUGAAAAUCUCAAGUUAUUAUGUGAAUAUUGAAAAACGAACCCUAAAGUUUAUAUGGAGAGCCAAAAAAUGCAAAAGAGCCAGCACAUAUUGAAAGAGAAGAACAAAGUCAGAAGAUUGACACUACCUGACUUCAAGACUUAUGAUAAAGCUUCAGUAAUAAAGACAGUGUGGUAUGGACAAACUAAUAGAAAUACAGAUCAAUGGAACAGAACAGAGA